UCAUCACCAUCACGUGAAGAACCAUCAACGAUUGAAGCCGGUAAGAUCCGUCACCACCAUCCACAGUAGAUAUGUCAGUUACCUUUUCUAAAUAGUUCAAUUGAACCGAAGUUUUUGUUUUUCCAAAUCCAUUGAAAAAAACUUACAAAAGAACAAUCAAAACUUUGUGAGAUUUAAGAUAAAUUGGCAAACAAACUAAGUAACCAGGAGUAAAUCAAAUCAAAGAAAGAGAAUCAAAACGAAUAAAACAAACCGAUGACGAUGCUAUAAAAGAUUCCGACCAGCGGCUUGAAACAAUCAAAAAUCUCUUCUUUUUUUCUUGACGGCUAGGGUUUGACAUACUAUAUUCAUGGAAAGAAGAUCUACUACACAAACACAUU
rnacentral:lncRNA from 1 species